rnacentral:tRNA from 1 species
UGAUCCCUUAGUUAAGCUGGAUAUAACAAGAACCUCCUAAGUUCUCGUCGCCGGUUCGAAUCCGGCAGGGGUCAU